GUGCUGAAGCAACAAAUGCCCUGCUUCCAGGAAAAGCCUCUAAGCAUCAGGUAACAUCAAAUCGUACCCCAAACCGACACAGGUGGUCAGGUAGAGAAUACCAAGGCGCUUGAGAGAACUCGGGUGAAGGAACUAGGCAAAAUGGUGCCGUAACUUCGGGAGAAGGCACGCUGAUAUGUAGGUGAAGUCCCUCGCGGAUGGAGCUGAAAUCAGUCGAAGAUACCAGCUGGCUGCAACUGUUUAUUAAAAACACAGCACUGUGCAAACACGAAAGUGGACGUAUACGGUGUGACGCCUGCCCGGUGC
rnacentral:rRNA from 1 species